rnacentral:rRNA from 1 species
CCCUACGGGGUGCAGCAUGCGCGAAAACUUUACAAUGCGGGAAACCGUGAUAAGGGAACUCUGAGUGCCCGUUAAAUCGGGCUGUCCAUCAGUUUAAAAAACUGGUGAAGAAAGGGCCGGGCAAGACCGGUGCCAGCCGCCGCGGUAAUACCGGCGGCUCGAGUGGUGGCCACUAUUACUGGGCUUAAAGCGUUCGUAGCUGGUCUGUUAAGUCUCUGGGGAAAUCUUCCGGCUUAACCGGAAGGCGUCUCAGGGAUACUGGCAGACUAGGGACCGGAAGAGGUGAGAGGUACUCCAGGGGUAGGAGUGAAAUCCUGUAAUCCUUGGGGGACCACCUGUGGCGAAGGCGUCUCACCAGGACGGCUCCGACAGUGAGGAACGAAAGCUGGGGGAGCAAACCGGAUUAGAUACCCGGGUAGUCCCAGCUGUAAACGAUGCACGUUAGGUGUAUCGGUGACCACGAGUCACCGAGGUGCCGAAGAGAAAUCGUGAAACGUGCCGCCUGGGAAGUACGGUCGCAAGGCUGAAACUUAAAGGAAUUGGCGGGGGAGCAC